UUGAGCGACGGGAUUCCAGCCGCGCGGCGACACCAUGGCGUUCGCCAUUCCCCCCCCGAGCUGUGGAGGGGGGGGGGCUCCAGCGUAGGGGGAGGAGGAACUUACAGCUGGAGGAGCUGCAGACACCAGAACUUCCUAUAGUUUGGAGAGUUCUUCAGGUGAGGAGAUCCAUGAUUCCACAUCACGAUGAGAAUGUUUCCACCUUCCAGCCGCUGCAGUACCUGACCGGCUGGACCGGUCCGGUUCCCCUGGCCCGUCUGAGCAGCUUCAGAUCGUUCUGAAGAUCUCUCAGGAGGUGCCGAUGAGGGCGUGGCCACAUCCUGGGCGGAGUCGAAGGAGAAAGGAGAAGAGGAGGAG